GUGCUCACUUCAGCAGCACAUAUACUAAAAUUGGAAUGAUACAGAGAUUAGCAUGGCCCCUGCACAAGGAUAACAUGCAAAUUCAUGAAGUGUUCCAUUUUUUU
rnacentral:snRNA from 1 species